rnacentral:rRNA from 1 species
GAUGAACGCUGGCGGCGUGCCUAAUACAUGCAAGUCGAGCGAAUGGAUUAAGAGCUUGCUCUUAUGAAGUUAGCGGCGGACGGGUGAGUAACACGUGGGUAACCUGCCCAUAAGACUGGGAUAACUCCGGGAAACCGGGGCUAAUACCGGAUAACAUUUUGAACCGCAUGGUUCGAAAUUGAAAGGCGGCUUCGGCUGUCACUUAUGGAUGGACCCGCGUCGCAUUAGCUAGUUGGUGAGGUAACGGCUCACCAAGGCAACGAUGCGUAGCCGAGCUGGGAGGGUGAUCGGCCAACCUGGGACUGAGACACGGCCCAGAAUCCUACGGGAGGCAGCAGUAGGGAAGCUUCCGCAAUGGACGAAAGUCUGACGGAGCAACGCCGCGUGAGUGAUGAAGGCUUUCGGGUCGUAAAACUCUGUUGUUAGGGAAGAACAAGUGCUAGUUGAAUAAGCUGGCACCUUGACGGUACCUAACCAGAAAGCCACGGCUAACUACGUGCCAGCCGCCGCGGUAA